CGCGAUUACUAGCGAUUCCGACUUCAUGUAGGCGAGUUGCAGCCUACAAUCCGAACUGAGAAUGGUUUUAAGAGAUUAGCUAAACAUCACUGUCUCGCGACUCGUUGUACCAUCCAUUGUAGCACGUGUGUAGCCCAGGUCAUAAGGGGCAUGAUGAUUUGACGUCAUCCCCACCUUCCUCCGGUUUAUCACCGGCAGUCUCGUUAGAGUGCCCAACUUAAUGAUGGCAACUAACAAUAGGGGUUGCGCUCGUUGCGGGACUUAACCCAACAUCUCACGACACGAGCUGACGACAACCAUGCACCACCUGUAUCCCGUGUCCCGAAGGAACUUCCUAUCUCUAGGAAUAGCACGAGUAUGUCAAGACCUGGUAAGGUUCUUCGCGUUCCCCCCGUGCCCCCGCCCCGCCCGGGGCGCGCCCCGGGCGGG
rnacentral:rRNA from 1 species